ensembl:lncRNA
AGUGACCGGCGCAUUGAUCGAGUCAUUAACAGGAGUAGGGAUGACCAGACGUACAGUACCUGUUUUCUGGCUUUUGGUGUCCCGUCCCUGACUGGAGCUGUCCCUGUUUUACAGUACAUUUGUACAUUUAAAACACCACAAAUAGGAUGCUGGUUACCAGAGCAAUCGUACCGGAAUAAGGUGCACUGAUAAAUUCCCAGACAUGAUGUAAAAGCAGCCAAUCAGAUUUUCAGAGCUGCUGUUUUCAACCAGCUCUUCCCAUUCUUGGUGCAACAUGAGGUCAGUGAUUGGUGUGAUGCCUCGGGCUAACAAUGUUUUGACAGUGAAU